rnacentral:rRNA from 1 species
GACGAACGCUGGCGGCGUGCUUAAUACAUGCAAGUCGAGCGAGGCCCAUCCAGUGGCAACACUGGGGAAGGCCGAGCGGCGAACGGGUGAGUAACACGUGAGCAACCUGCCCCGAAGUCUGGAAUAACAUCGGGAAACCGGUGCUAAUACCGGAUUGCCCCACCUGACCGCAUGAUCGGGUGAGGAAGAUUUAUCGCUUCGGGAGGGGCUCGCGGCCUAUCAGCAGUUGGCGGGUAACGCCCACCAAGGCGUCGACGGGUAGCUGGUCUGAGAGGACG